rnacentral:rRNA from 1 species
GUCUAUGGCCAUAUCACCCUGAAUGUGCCUGGUCUCAUCUGAUCUAGGAAGCUAAGCAGGGUCGGGCCUGGUUAGUAUUUUGAUGGGAGAACCUUGUGUAAAUAUUUACAUUUUCCAAGAGC